rnacentral:tRNA from 2 species
GGGUGAUUAGCUCAGCUGGCAGAGCAGCUGACUCUUAAUCAGCGGGUCGGGGGUUCGAAUCCCUCAUCACCCA